rnacentral:rRNA from 1 species
CUUGGUAACGAUAGCAGAGUGGGUACACCUGUUCCCAUCCCGAACACAGAAGUUAAGCACUCUAACGCCGACGAUAGUGAAUGCAAAAAUAGGAAGCCGCCAAGA